AGAAGAGGAGGAAGAGGAAGAGGCGGAGGCAGCAGAUCUGGAUGGCUGGGGAGAGCUCAGGGUCCCGGUGAGGCAGGAGGGGAGCCUGGGAAGGUCAGCAAAGGAGGCAGGUCCGAAUGUCAGAGCAGAACGGCACUAAGGAUGACGAUGAGGACCACCAUGAGCACAGCUUGUAUAUGCUGGUCCUGCUGGUCCUGGUCUUCUUUGCCAUGGGCCUGGUGGGACUCCUCAUUUGCCACGUCCUGAAGAAGAAAGGCUACCGCUGCCGGACUUUCCGCGAUGAGCUUGAAUGUGACAACAAGGAAUCGCUGACCCCAAUGGAAGAUGAUGAGGAUGAAGAGCUGAAUGAAGACACUGUAGAGAAGAUAGUGAAGUGUAUCAUUCAGAAUGAAGCCAAUGUGGAAGUCCUGAAAGAGAUGCUGGGGGAAGGUGAUGCUGAUCUUCAACUGCCGGUGCCUGUGCCCAGUGGCCUCUGUCCACAUCGAAUGAGCCAAGAUGGUGGACUACCCCAUCACCAUACAGUGCACUUGGGCUCAACUCAAGCACCUUGCAUUCACUGCAGUAAGAAAAAAAGGCACUCGCUGCAUCGUCAGGGACGCUCCAAAGAGGGCAAAGGCAAGAUGCAUCCUGGGGAGACCACUGUUUUUUCUGUUGGCAGAUUCCAUGUCACCCACAUUGGGAAGAAACCUGCUUCCCACGAAUCACAAGAAGAAUCUCUCUCUGACAAUAAGCAAAACCUUAGCUUCACAGAUGCAGGCCAAGAGAUCUGCAGCAAUGAGAAACCCCACUGUGCGGGGUCUCAGAAUGGAAUAGUGCAGGUGGAUGCUCUUCAGCAAGAAACAUUUCAGCAGGCAGAUUCACAGAGUCAAAAAGGACUGAAAGAAGAUUGUGCAGAUGAGUCAACUCAAGGGAAUAAUUUUUUAAAUAUGACAACAAAUCCAGAUGAUUUAAUGAAUAGACCAGAUAGGAAAGAAUGUUCUAAGGUUAGCUCAUUGCAACAGGCAGGCCUCCCAGGUACUGCAAAAAGCUGUACAUCCGAGACAAACUGCUCUGUAGGACCCAGAAGACCUUGGUCAGAAGACCUGGAAAAAAUCAAGAGGCUAGAUGAAAAAUCUGGUACCACUGAAGAAGAGGAUAUUCCAAGGGGAGCUAAUGAAGUAUCAGAAAAUAACGGGGAUCAAGUUCUUCAAACAGGAUCUGGAGUCAGACUAGACAUAUCUGGAUAUGGGGUCAAUAGUGCCAGCAGCAUAGCACUCCAGAAUAACCUGGUGUUACGAAAUAGCCAACCUUUCUUUGUUUUGAAAGAAGUAGUUUAGUGGAGAAGGGAAAUGCAGCAUACAACGUUAGAUAGGACCAGAGCUCAGUUCCGCAGGACUCGGGAGUCUCAGUGUGACAUUGCAACUGCUCUUGAUUCAAGGCUGCAAACAGACCUGUCAUCAGGGUUGCAAGAAUGAAACAGCCAGAUCAGAUCAAGCCAGGCCUGGUCAAGAAGAGCUACAUGGCACCUGGUGUGGCCUGUGUUGCUUCAACCAGUAAGACUAUUGCACUUGACAAGAGCCUCAUCCCCAUUACAGUAGUUAUCCAAACAGCAGAAGAAAAGCCAUCCAUAGGGACAGAACCUUACUGUGGAACAUCCCACACAUCUGGAAAUUACAGCCUUCCUGUUCUCUUGAAAGCUUUGCUAAGGCUCAUAUUUUACAGUCAUAUAUCGAGGUCAGGAUCCAUUAGCUUUCUUCAACAGGUCAAAAUCCUCUUCUUCACUAUGAUGAGACUCACUAUGUGGUGCUUUCAAGAAUCCCAGACUUUUGUUUCAUAACCUGAAGCUCUCAGCCACUGACAUAGGUAACUGACUAAGUGAAAUAAUUUCAGCUCAUUGCUCAUCUCCCCAAUAUAACCUUUCCCUGGCAACUCUAGGUUAUCCAGCCCUGAAGUGCCUCAGAAUUAUUCAGUUGUUGGUUAGGGCCCUUUUAGGGGAAAACUACAUCCUGUUCCAGGCAGUACAUUUCUGCAACAGCACAAUUCUCCUGCAUGCCAGUCAGAUCUUGUCUGAAGGCGCUAUUACAAGUUAAAAUGCAACUCAUGCUAAAAGCAAGAGAAAACAGAACUGGGGCAAUGUGGGUGAAGUGAUUAUUCAGUUAAAGGGAAAAAUCUCAGUUCUGCCCUCCCUUCUGGCAUCUGGAACACAGGUGUUAGUAGUAGACAGCCUAGUUUUAAAGUUAUUUGCAUUGUGGUUAGGAAACAAGAAACUUAAAAGCUGUGUUAGGCUGGUAGCUAGGCCUUAGGCUAUACCCAAACAGGAUUAGCUCGGCAGUUUCCAUUUUUUGCCUAGAGCAAUAAGAACUAUUACAGCCCAGGAACUUCAUUUCCAUUUUCUCUUGUUGAGCAGAGUUCUGCCUCAUUUAGUUCAGGAGGAAGGCACUUUCCUCUGCACUGCAAUAAUGACACACAAACAGACAUUUUCCUACCUGGUGGCUCAGACUGUGCUCUAGUUUUCACAGUCACAUUAGCCCCUAAAGAACAGCUGCAUACGCAUUUUGAUCUGAACUUUGAUGUGGUCUUCAAUGUAGUAUAUGCAGACAGUUUGGAUGGAGUGGUGAUGGGGGCAGCUUUGCACAGCACAAACAUUGGAGAUUUUAGCAGCAAAUCUGGGUAACCUUUCCUGCACAGGAACAACCUAAGCCUGGAGACCAGCUUGUUCAGAAGAACUCCUCUGGAUCCUUCCUGU